rfam:Camelus ferus unplaced genomic scaffold scaffold803, whole genome shotgun sequence.
GAGGGUACAGCUCAUGUGGUAGAGCGCAUGCCUAGCAUGCAUGAGGUCCCGGGUUCAAUCCCCAGUACCUCCU